CCCUUAAAUGUUCUGGGCCGCACGCGCGCUACACUGACGAAUGCAACGAGCUUAUAACCUUGGCCGAAAGGUCUGGGUAAUCUCCAAAUUUCGUCGUGAUGGGGAUAGAUUAUUGCAAUUAUUAAUCUUCAACGAGGAAUGCCUAGUAAGCGCAAGUCAUCAGCUUGCGUUGAUUACGUCCCUGCCCUUUGUACACACCGCCCGUCGCUCCUACCGAUUGAAUGGUCCGGUGAAGCGUUCGGACCGUGGCCUUUGGACGGUUCGCCGUCUGUUGGCUGCGGGAAGUUCGUUAAACCUUAUCAUUUAGAGGAAGGAGAAGUCGUAACA
rnacentral:rRNA from 1 species